UAGCCCAUUUAAGACUUUGUGUCCUAAAUGACUUACACAGGGGGGUAGAGGAAGUCAUUGAAGUCUUUCAAAAACCUAAAGCGAAGGCCAACACCUUGCUUUGGAUCCUGUCGGAAGAUACACAA
ensembl:snoRNA